AUGUUUUGUGUUGCUUCAUUUUGGUUGCCCCAAGAUUCUCUCCGACAAGUGUACAGCUAUCCGGUGAUGCGCCAAGUACCCCUUGGAUCGUCAAGUUCGACUACAGGAAACCGCCAAGUACCACUACGAUUGCCGUGUACAUCUACGGACGCCAAGCCCGGAACAACAAGUACCCCGACAACGUGGGUAACUAGCGUCGACCCCGUGGACGUCAAGUACCUCUACCGACGACCCCGAACAUUUACGAAAACGUGUACCACUACCGUCGCCGUGUACCACUACUUCCCUCGGCGACCCGUGAACAACUACUCCCACUACCGUCAAACCCGAGCCACUCCGAAAAGGCACGCUUCGAAGGUAUAUUGA
rnacentral:rRNA from 1 species